GAGCGGACAGAUGGGAGCUUGCUCCCUGAUGUUAGCGGCGGACGGGUGAGUAACACGUGGGUAACCUGCCUGUAAGACUGGGAUAACUCCGGGAAACCGGGGCUAAUACCGGAUGGUUGUUUGAACCGCAUGGUUCAAACAUAAAAGGUGGCUUCGGCUACCACUUACAGAUGGACCCGCGGCGCAUUAGCUAGUUGGUGAGGUAACGGCUCACCAAGGCAACGAUGCGUAGCCGACCUGAGAGGGUGAUCGGCCACACUGGGACUGAGACACGGCCCAGACUCCUACGGGAGGCAGCAGUAGGGAAUCUUCCGCAAUGGACGAAAGUCUGACGGAGCAACGCCGCGUGAGUGAUGAAGGUUUUCGGAUCGUAAAGCUCUGUUGUUAGGGAAGAACAAGUACCGUUCGAAUAGGGCGGUACCUUGACGGUACCUAACCAGAAAGCCACGGCUAACUACGUGCCAGCAGCCGCGGUAAUACGUAAGUGGCAAGCGUUGUCCGGAAUUAUU
rnacentral:rRNA from 1 species